GACGAACGCUGGCGGCGUGCCUAAUACAUGCAAGUCGAACGCAGUGGGGACGGGGUAGUAAAACGUGCGUAACCUCCCAUCAGAGGGGAUAACACUUGGAAACAGGCGCUUAACCGAUACUGAUGGAUGAACCCGGGGGGCAUUAGCUAGUUGGUGAGGUAACGGCUCACCAAGGCCACGAUGCCUAGCCGGCGUGAGAGGGUGAUCGGCCACACUGGGACUGAGACACGGCCCAGACUCCUACGGGAGGCAGCAGUGGGGAAUCUUCGGCAAUGGGCGAAAGCCUGAUCGAGCAACGCCGCGUGAGUGAAGAAGGUUUUCGGGUCGUAAAGCACUGUUGUUAGAGAAGCGGUAUCUAACCAGAAAGCACCGGCUAACUACGUGCCAGCAGCCGCGGUAAUAC
rnacentral:rRNA from 1 species